rnacentral:rRNA from 1 species
GUACGGAAGGCAGCAGUGGGGAAUAUUGGUCAAUGGACGCAAGUCUGAACCAGCCAUGCCGCGUGAAGGAUGAAGGCCCUAUGGGUUGUAAACUUCUUUUGUACGGGACGAAACUAUGUUACGUGUAAUGUACUGACGGUACCGUAUGAAUAAGCAACGGCUAACUCCGUGCCAGCAGCCGCGGUAAUACGGAGGUUGCAAGCGUUAUCCGGAUUUAUUGGGUUUAAAGGGUGCGUAGGCGGGAUGAUAAGUCAGUGGUGAAAGCCUGUAGCUUAACUAUAGAAUUGCCAUUGAUACUGUCGUUCUUGAGUGUAGUUGAGGUGGGCGGAAUGUGUAAUGUAGCGGUGAAAUGCUUAGAGAUUACACAGAACACCGAUUGCGUAGGCAGCUCACUAAACUAUAACUGACGCUGAGGCACGAAAGCGUGGGGAGCAAACAGGAUUAGAUACCCCCGUAC